AAGGGGACGGCGAGAUGCUUAGUUGCGCGCUGACGGCCUCGGGCGGUGACACGCUGAAAGAGAAGGAAGAGAUGCGGGAUUUGGAUGGGUGGUGUAGCCGUGUCCGUGUGACGGCGGUCGAGGGAUCCAGGUGGGGCACAGACGCAGAGUGGCUGAAGGCAGGAGGAGCGAGGGCGUUCUAUUUUCGUUUUUGGUUCAUUUUUCUCCAUUUCUUUGUUGUUUUCUUUUCACUUUCUGCGGAAUCUUCUUCUCUUUUAGCCUUUUACCAUUAAAAAAAUCUUGUGAGAAGAGCUGCAACCCAUGAUAGGGAUGGCAACUCCAAAGGGCGACUCAAACAAACGGUGAUUUUGUCCGUUUGAUUGGCCCAGCGUACAUAAAUGUCCGCUUCGGC
rnacentral:lncRNA from 1 species